GGCUACGGUUAACAGAGCCAAUCCCACAUCGAAACCACAUGGUUUUCAUUUUCAAAAACCAUGGCAGAACCACAGAGAAAGCAAGCUAUUUUUUCUAUCAUGUCCACUUGGGUGUAAUUGAACUUUGAGCUUUAAAAAAAAAAAAAAAAUACCGGCUUCUAUGGUGGAGAUGAUUUGGGCAAAAAAAAGAAGAAGGAAAAAAAACUAGAAAGAAACGAUGUAUGAGUGAUUUACUGAAAGGUUGAAUGGAUAGUUUAAAGUCACACGCAAUGUGUUUUGCACAUUUGAUAUAUAUUUGCAUUGGAUCUUCUACAAAUACUCCUCAAAACAGGUAAAUAAUUGGGGUGGUAUUGAAUAGUUAGGACUUUGCACCCCCCACCCUGGAUCCCAGCUAUUUUUCUAUAUUGCCUUCUUUACAUGUGCAAGACACAUCCAUGUUUGUAAAGCCAUCCCAGUCUCUAGCUCUAGAUUCGACAGAUGCAUACAAUAUGUCACUCGCGUUGUACGUCCAGACUGCGUUUGAAGUAUUUGUACUCCUCCCGCCCCACCCCUUUUCUCUGUGUCUUUUUUCGGUGUUUUAGCGAUGUCGAGUUAACCAGUUUUAAAAAAACAAAACAAAAAACAAAGUACGGUUGUUUCUCACGCUGCAUGUGGUCCUGCAUGAGCAAAAAUGUACAACAAAACUGAACGAUGCGUAGACGUUGCUCUUAUUGUGUGUGCGUCACCAAGACUCGCUGCAUUGUAUUACUGUCCCCCAGCCAUAGUGCCUUACAUAUUUGGGGUUGUUAAUGUAACUACUACUUAUAUAUGACUAUAUACACGAUUAUUAAUGUACUGGACUGCAGCACUUGAAAUUCCAAUCAGUCGAUGCAUUCUAUGUGUGAGUAUAUAUAUGCACCUGUGUAUAUGUCCAUGCAUAGCCUGCAUGGAUGUGAUAUAUAUCGCGGACAGCGGUGCUUAUCUUUAUGGAUUCGGUGUAUAUUUCAAUGUGACGUGAGUAUAAACUUUUGGGUUUUCUCCUAAAGAACAGCAUGCUUUGCUGUUGCGAAUGCUAGCUGUCAAAACGAAAAACACGUUUUUUGUUUUUUUCCUUCUCCCUCCCUCUCCCGAAAUAACUAGUGUACAAAGUGCAAGUACUGAGUAUUGCUUAAUAUUUGAUAAUCACUUUUCUAUUUAGUGAAACUCUUAUUACUAACAGUAUUUGUACUGUUUAAUGAAACUGCAAUACAAUCUAAAAAGUCGUUAAUUAUUAUGAAUUAUCAUUUAAUUAUGAACUGUUUUCCGUUGUCUCCAUUUUUUUUUCCCUCGUCUUUGUGCGAUUUCAUUUUCACUUUGUUUGGUAGAUGUUUCUAGAAGUGUGGUGGGCAUGGCUUUGAUUAGGCGAGGAGAAAAAAAAGUAAUGGUUUGGAAUUUUUCUAAGCCUGAGCAAACCAUGCAGUAUACGAUAUACACACAUAUAUGGACAUACAGUAUAUUAUAGAGUAUUUAGUACAGAUGCUUGAUAAGGUGUGAGUUAUUGUGUGCAAUUCUCUCAUUUAUGCAUGUGUGACAAAAGUUAACUUUUCCCUUUAUAUUGUAACAUUUGUUAAAGGCUUAAGACUUAUUGAUGUCAACUGCUUAUUUUAUACAUUCCGUCAGGGAGUAUAUAUAUGUAUAUAUAUAUACAUAUAUACAUAUAUAUAUAUAUAUAUAUAUAAACGUACAUAUAUAUAAAUCUAUAUAUAUAUGUAUUUGUAAAAGUGAUGGUAUCAGUAAGGACUAUUGAUAAGACAUAGACCUGACCUAAUCCCCAGAAUGUGUCUAGAAUUUGCUCUGCUGUUUUUUUUUUGUUUGUUUUUUUUGUAUUGACUUCCUGUUUGUAAAGUAGGCAAAAAAAUAGGCAAAUUCUUAAUGUUGGUAAACAUUUUCCUGCAUAUGUAACGUCCCUAAUAUUUAGCUUAACAUGAUGUCAACAUUGGGCCACACAGUGAGAAAGUGGUUAGUCCUCAUGCUUUAGAGGAGGUCAUUGGUUCGAUAACCAGUGGUAACUGAUACUGUCUGGCAUCGAUCGGCCCCCUCCCCAAGUGUUUACCAACCAAAGCACUGUCACGUGUUCACAGCAGGACAGUCUAAUUGUCAAACAGACGACCCAUGUGUCAAGCCUAUCCCAUAAUAAGGGAUCAUUUAUAAUUAUGAGUAACAUAACAGUUCAAAUUAGUGUUGUGUUGAACAUGGUGUCACUCUUGCCGUACAUCUUGACGGUCACAGGUUUAAUCCACAUCGGUAAAUAAUUGUUUGUGUGUGGGUUUUGGUUGAUGUGCUGGCAAAUUGUUCACUAUGGCUUGAUGGUGUGAAUGUGCACGUGAAUGGAUGUCUCUACAGUAUAUAUGUGGCCCAGAUAACUGUGGUCAUUGGCUCCAGCUCCCCCUGCAGUGUUCCUCUCGGGUCAAGCUGAAAAUCUUGCACCAUUUUUAAUUUACUGCUUAUUUUCCUCUAAAUGGGAUUGUAGAAAAAUUGAAGCCAUGUUCCAAGAAGACCUUUAUUUAAUAAAUAGGACAAAAAUUGUCACAUUAUUUUUUUUUAACUCAUUGAUCAUCAUCAUUAUACACUUAUAUGGAGUAGCUUAAAAAAACAGUGGAGCACAUUCAGUGGUCUCUCCAGGUUGUUAUCCUCUGAAACCUCUGCAUUCUCCUAAAAUUAGGGUGGAAUUAUAUCAUCACUCUGUACAUCUAUAUAUAUGUGUAUAUAUAUAUAUAUAUAUAUGUACGUUGAAAUGAUACGUGUGUGCGUUUCUUUUCAUUUUUACUAGUUCGGCGUGUAAUUUUCUGUGUGCGUCUGUGUUUAAUUCAUAUAUGAAGUUGCUUGUGCAGCACCAAAGACUGUAAUUCAUUUCCUAAGCAAGGUAGCUAUUCUGUUUGCGUAGACCUCAGUUAUACUGUUAGUUAUAGAAUGGGGUGACAUUAAAACAAACCUAUUAAAAAAAAUUAUUUGUAUUUAAAAAAAUUGCUGAGGUUUUGUCUAGCUUAUCGGGCAAAUUAAUAAGUCGUAUCAUUUCUUUCUUGAAUGUAUCAUAGUUAAGCUGCUAUAUGAUUAUUGCCACUUCAAUAGCUGUGAAAUUAGGUGAUUUCUCUGAGUUUCAACUUUGCUAUUUUUGUAUAGGUCCCUAAUUGUCUGAAUUAGAAGUGGUUUUGAUUUUGGUUUUGUUUUUUUUAGUGUUUGUGUUUUUUCUUUUUUUUUGCGUUCCUAUUUGGAGUGUCAUUGUAACUACUGUAUUGCUGAUGAUGAACAUUAGAUGCAUUUGUUGUUUCUCGGGGUGUGCGUUUGUGUGUUUUUUGCAUCAGUAUUUUAUCCCUAUUAACCUUUUUGGGCUCAUCACUGCAUAUAAAUGAUGUAUCGAUGUAACUUAAUUUUUUUUUGUAUGUUUUCAUAUCGAUGUUUUGUAUACAUCUAAAGCUGUAGCUUGCAGGAUUGAUUUAACUUUUCAUUGUGCGGUUUUGCAGUGUACUCUUUGACGUGUGACAGGAGCACAAAGAAAUGCAUGGAAAUGCUUCUGUAAUGGCACACAGACACACUCACCACUAAGCACUCGUACAGGUCAGUUAGGCUUCUGAGGGUGUGGGGUCCUUAGACUGGUAUGUCCAAAAAUGAAUUAAGCCCAAAUAAUAAUGUUAACCUCAGUUUACCGUUAAAUUAAUUUCUAACGGCAACGUUUUUUUUAUUUUAAAUCUGUUCAAUGUUGUAUCAGGCUAGGAUUUGUUUGUUCGGAAACUGCCUUGGGUUUGGAUCGCUCUCCCCUUUAUGAGUGUCUCAUAUCAAAAGAUAAUGUAAUGUCAAUGCAAAGUCCUGGUCGUCGUUACGUGUUCCUCACUGAAAAGGAGACAGUGUCGGCAGCACUGUGUAUGUGCCUUGAGAUUCCUGAAAGAAAGUGAGAUUUCAAGAUGGUGAUUCCUUAGUGUUCAAUUGGAGGAGGAAGAUGAAAAAGUCCAGUUAGGGCCCGUUAUCCUUCAAACGGCCACUUUCCCACCAAUUUACCUAAACACACACACACACAGUCUCACACACACACACACACAGACAGACAGCAGAAUUUUAUUACAGUCCAAUUUUCAUUGACUGUUUGUGAAGAAUAGACGUAGCCACGUGGACAGAGCUGGUCUCAGAGGUGACUCUGUCAAUAGAGGUCUGUGGGAGGUGGAGACAGCUUUCACUUUCAAGUUGUCCAAUCACUAGGAGUCACUACUGCACGAGUUCACACAAGGAUUUGCUGCUAUUUGGUGUGUUUCUUGAUGGAACCAUUGUGCUUCUCUAGCCUCAAAAAAUCAUCUCUAAAGAAAUGUCAAAUCUAUCUACAGAGGAAAUUGUCCCAGAUAUUUAAAACGAUAUUGGACAUUUUAGUACAGGUUAAAGCAAAAAGAAAACUAUUUAACAUCUGGUCUGUAAUAUUUUAUUUGUUUUUUAUGGAAUAGCUAACAUUUCUGCAAGUUUUAAAUAAUGAUCAAAUAUAGUUAGCUUAAGCAUAGACUGAGAAUAAGGAACACAAGUUAUAGAGUGGCUAAGAUUUAGACAAAGUUAGACAAAAGAGUUAUAGUGAUACAGACAAGAUAGCUACAGAAUUAGCAAAGUAAGUCCGCUCGAAUUAAAUUUAGCAAUUAGCAAAAUUAACUAAGUUAGCAAGACAGGUGUUAGUUUGAUAGUUUCCAAAAAUAGUUGCAUGUUAGCAAGAUAUAUAUAUAUAAACAGCCAGAUGUUAGGUAAUGAUAAAAGUUGCUUCCAUAGGCUUUUUAUAGGUUACCAUGAAACCUAGUCUGUAGCUACAACAGCCAAGAUUUGACUAAAAACCCUUCAGCAACUGUUCCACUUUGAAUAACAACAUCUUCAACGACACAGUUGAGUUUCACACCAAGAAUCCUUUGGCAGUAAGAAGCCUCCUCCUCCUCCUCCUCCCACAGACUUGAUUCAUAGAGCACUUCCUGUGGCGUCACUUCGCCACCAGACGACUGCGUCCAGUUCUUAUAUCAGGUCUAUGGAUUUUUCAGGCAGCUGUUGUCCUCCGGUCAGUUGUAGAGAAGACAGAGAAAUUGUUGAUCCUGGUUGUACAGAUGACACAAUAACAAUACCCCCCCCCCAACACACACAAACACAGAAGCUCUUUGAAUGAUAUGACCCUCAGUGAGGUUCAGAUAGUCACUCUGGCUGAACAGAUGAUGCAAUAUUUUCUACAUUGUGCGGUCAUUGUACCACCAAGUGUUCUUAGAUAACUCCCACGUUUUUGCAUCUCCCUGCACGUUCCACCGGGUUCUCCUCACUUUGUCCAAAACCUGAAGCUCAGAGCAGCUUUUGUUUUUUUUUUCUUCUCUCCAUCUUACCCGGGCGUCAACUGUCCUGCUCUGUCCUGGACACAAGCGUAGUUCCUCUGCAGUCAGACCCGAGUGAUGGAACAAUGUCCACCUUCAAACAGCCACACUGUUCCUUUGUCUCCUCUGUACAGUAUGCUGUACCGGACCAUGCUCCACUGUUGUUUUCUUUAGAAAAGAGACCGUGUGAUGACGAGGCAUGAACUUGGCAGAUUAGUGCUUGAAAUAGUUCCCCAGUAAUACGCAUGUGAAAUGUUCUCUGUGUUUUUGAUUCCUCCAAAGGUAUUCACCAGCAAUGCGCCUGCAUACACUCUCCAAGUACUUGUUAGGAUAAAAAUAAAAUGGAUGCAAGGAAAUUUUAAAAAAAAAAGUUUUUUUUCUUCACACUAUUGAUAGCCUUGAUUUAUGGGGUUGUUUUUUUUAAAUUAAGGAUUUGUUUAACAUUUAACAGAUAAAAUGGAGUCAUUUGUAAAACAGUUAAGGUGGUGACAUUUACUAUCAGAAAGAUCUGCUGCGGUAUUAUCCUCUUAGAAAUGUUAAUUCAGGGUCUGUAUUAUUCUACACAUGCUACUGUCUUUGAUUUGAUUGGUCGAGCUCAGUCUUGUUUUUGCUUUUCCGGUCACCUAUGAAUUUCAGAGUUAAUUCACACUGCAAGUUAUGGGAUCGUCUGUUUAGACUUGAUUAUGAAAUCUAAACUGUUACUGUUUAAAACCCGUAGAUUUGUGGCUUUUUUUGGUUGGUUUUUAUUUCCUACGUAUGCUAUUUUUAUUUUCGUUUAUUUUUUUUAUUUUAAUUUUGUGCUACACUAGUUUGCCAUGUAGCAAUUGCACUGUGCAAUAUUUACAGUAUGAGGACUGGGAAAACUAACUCUAUGGAUGUGAUGUCUCUUUACAGUUUGCGGUAGUGUUUCCUCUCUAGUUCUCAGUGAUUUAGGUGUGACCAAGCCUUCUAUACUUUGUCACAUUAAGCGGGUUUUCCAGGUGACUCUUUUGGUGAGUGUCAAAAUAAGACUUUAUGGUGUAUUAUUGUUAAGAUUCACUUUGAAUUAAAAAAAUUAUUGAUGCACCUGCUUCUGACUCAGGCUGAUAUAUCUUGGCAUUUUAUACAUUUUCACUCUUGUGAUUUUUGUCCAUUGAAAACAUUAAAAGCAUUAAUGUAUUUCCUCCUUAAUUUGGUUUCUUAAUAAAAUAUAAAAGUUUAAGAACAUGGGUAAAAUAUAUUUAUUUUAUAGAAAUAGCUAAGCUAAAUCUCUACAUAUAGUCUUUAAAUCUAGGUGAAUUGGAUUCAUUGGAUUCAUGUUUGCUCUUAAAAGUAUUUAUUUUAUUUACAAUAGUUUUUAUUAUUGUUAUUAUUAAAGUGCUUUCUUUGAUCAUUCAAUAAAAAACACUAGCUACUAUUAUAUUAACCAUUUCAAGUAAUGUUAGACAGUCCCUGACAUGUUGAUAUUACAGUCAUUUUUCUUAAAAGCUGGUGCUUGUAAGUAGGUCUUGCCUGACAUUUUGUGGCCAUAUGAUGAUACUACAGCCAUAGUUGAAGUCGCCUUAUCUUCUCGUGUGCGACGCUAAAAACCUUCAGUGGAAGUCGUAGCUAAAAGGUAAUUAUGUAUAUUUUUUUAGUGUUGUUGUUGACCAUAUUAUUUACUUUAUGAUAACAUGAAAACAUGGAAAAUAUUUUACAGCACAUUUAAGUUGAACUCAGCAGUUCUGUCCUCUUCAUCAGACAUCGUUUUCAUCAUCAUCAGUAGCAGUGGCAGUGAUGGCUAAUUAGGUUAGACGGCUAACUGCUAACCCUGGAUAACUGCUAACCCUGGAGUCAGGAUUUAUAUUAAAUUAAGAUUACGUUCUAAGUCAUUAAAGAAAAAAAAUCUUCACCAUUUUGUCCUGAAGUUGUAGGCUGUGAUAAAUAAUGUCAGUUCUGAUAGUGACCAACGGUCGCUGUGCUAAACUGUAUUUUUGUGUGGAACAUGCUUCGACCCACUAAUGUCCUGCCCCGUGGACCUCGUUCAUCACACCUGCUGUAGACUUUCUGUUAGAGCGGAGCUGCACAGUGUUGUUUGUUACCAUCUUAGAAAAAUCUGCUGAAAUUGCACAUUUUAUACAGGAGGGAGAGGGGGGUGUUCUUCAGCACCUGCUUGUGCACUAUGUGCACUGCGCGUAGCUUACCAGCAGAGGGCGCCAAACACAAUGUUAAGCGUUUUCAGUUUUAGAGCGAUGAGCUGAAAUUGACCGUAGUGGCCAGAGAGGGAGGACGAAGACAGCAGCAGCAGCGGCUUUAAAUCUGUCACCCAGCGUCACCUGAGGACAUCACGUGCCUGUGAGGCAGAGGCAGCUGCUCUGAAUGAGCCUCUGAAUGUCAAACCUGUGGAACAGUGCGCGUCUGUGUGCUGCGCAACACGCCGCUGAUUGGUGGAUAGUGCAUCGAUAGAGGAGUAUUUCUAAAAUAAAAUGAAAUAAAAUAAAAUCCCUCCCAUCGCCUCCCACCUCAAACCUCCGGUUCUCCUCCUACUGAUCCCCCCUCUCUCCUCCUUUCCUCCCCCCUUUUCCCUCCCUCCCUCCCUCUCUCUCUCUCCUCUGUCCUCCCUGCAUGUAUCCAUCCAUCCAGAUCUGGACACCGCGCGCAUCCACACCGCGGCACCGUCGCCACAGUCGUUUCUUCCCAACGUUUCACGCACAAGGACCGCGAUCCAAUGUAUUAUUCACGACCGAAACUUCAGCAACUUCCCCACCACAGGAUAUGGCUCCCGGUUUGAGGACGGAUGCUGGAGGUGGAGGAGAGGCGGUGAGAUGCUGGAGGAGCAGGUGGAGCAGCCGGGGAGCAGCGGCAGGGAUGCUGCUGGCUGCGGGGAUGCUCUCACUUCUUGCCCGGUGCGCGGUGGCCGCAGAGGAAAAAUCCACCUUCGAUGCCUCUGGCUUCUCGUCAUUACCCAGUGACCCCUCAGCCACAGCGGCUCCUAGUCAACGAGUGGCUGACUUGGCUGCAGCAGAGGAGGAGGUGCCUUUCUCAGCCACCCAAUCAGAAGGGGACUCUGAGUCAGAUGCAAGAGGUUUAUCAGGACAGGCUGCCUUCUCUUCUGUGCUAACAGUAAAGGCAGGAACUGUCAAUCAUCCAUCCAGCCAAGAUCAAAGCAAAACCUUGGCAACUUUCACCAGGGACGAGAACCACACCACCAAAUGGCCUUCACGAAAUUCCAGCCAUGGCUCCCAGAUGUCUUCCUCGUCGUUGUCAAAAGCAGGCGAUAGGAUCCACCCCACCAGCUCAGGUCGGACUCCCAGCAUGCCUCGCCAGCAGCAUACCGCACCACGUCAUGAUGUGACCAUGUCAUCACUGGAGUCUGAGCCAUUACAUGUACUCACCGUGGAUGUAAAAAAGACCAACUCAUCAUUUUUAUCAUCACCAUCACCUUCACUGUCAUCACCAGCUCCAUCCACUUCCUCUGUGCUCUCGUCCUACAUUAACAGGUUGAACCGCGCUACGUCUUCUCAGGGUCAACACAUAUUGUCCAGUCCAGCAGCUAGCCCUGUCACCAGUUUAGCAUCACAUUUACCAGCAGCGUUUAAAUGGGGACUAACCACCUCUGUGCCGCCACGUAGGGAAAAAAAUGACACAACCGAAAAAACUUUGGGACUCAACACUAGCAGUAUAGACUUAGCAUUAACCAAGCCACCAGCAACCAGAAAAGCAUAUUAUUUCCCUGAAUAUGGGAAUUAUUUCAAGACUUUUAAUGAACCCACUGAGACUCACACCCAAAGUGUGAGUGCGGUGUCGGAGAACGAUCCAGAAAUUAACACCUGGCUUUCUUCUAAUCACAGAAAUUCAGCUCGACUGUCUGUUCCUUCUAAUGCCUCACAACAGACUAAACCUCCACCUGUACGUCACAAAAGCUACGGGAACGCCACCGCGUCGCCUCUCAAUUCGCACAUUACAAAUCCUCGAGCGUCACCAGCGGCGACUUUCACACCUGCUGGUUAUUUUUUUACAGCUUCCUCUGAUAAGCCUCCAGAUACAGAGUCUCUCUCCGAAAUUCAAAUCACAAACCUCACACCUAUCUCCUCUGGCUCCCCGUCCUUGGAGCGUGCAUCUAUUCGUGAUGAUUUACCGAUGGCAGCGGGUCAUGGCCUCGCUAUCGUUGAUGCCAUUAAUGAAAACAACAAACUAGCAGUGGAUGAGAACAAAUCUGUUUUCUCUCAGGUUCUAGAGAAAAACAUGUAUCAAAAACCUGACAUCUCCACUGGUUUGAUCACCAGAGGAGGAACAACCUUUGUCACAAAGGGCUUGUUUGAAAAAACGACGUUUCCUUCUGGUUUAAUAUUGACAAAAUUUGUAACAGAUGAAAAUCUCUCUACCCUCCCUUCUUACUUCUCACCCUUUGUACGAAGCGACAUCCUGAACCAGGAUGAAGGUCUGUCCAGCAGUAAUGAAUUAAAUUUGCUGGAACGAACCAAACCUACACUGUCACAUAAACCAAAACCCUCCGACAGACCUGUUCAGGCCACGCCGUCACUAAAUUUGGACUCGGAGUUUGGUUCGGUGCCAACUUCUCAUAAUUCUCAUCAGAUGGCAUCAUCAUCAGGUGAAGUCUUUGCACGUAAUAAAAACUCAGAGAGGGCCGACCACAGUAAACCUUCGACACUGCAGGUGCAAACAGAUGCAGAAAGCAGUAAAUCAUCACCAGCUUGGCCUGGUCAUGUGACAAAUGGACGCUCAUUUGCAGAAAACCUGGAUAGAGAUGCUUCCUUUCCUUUGUUUCAUGAAAAGGAGGGAAAUAUUUUGUCCAACACAAAGAGUUUUCUGUCCACACCACACUUUCAAUCGCUGCCGACUGAAGCUCCUGAUGAAGAUGUGACAGUGACGGGCCCCUAUAGGAGCUCGUCUUCCUCCUGGUCAAAAAUCAUCCCCACACAAAGGACAACCUCUGCGUCUCCUGCUCAGGGACCGGCCGUCUUUGUUAGUAGUCAUAAAUCAAAGUUCUAUUCAGGCACACAGUCGGCUCGUCCCGGCACUGCUUUUCCUGCAGCCUCUCCUUCCCCCGGUGAUGGACAAAACAGCACUAGUGAAACACUAAAUCCUAUUUCCACAUUUGGCACAACACUAAUGGCAGCAUAUACAAAGUGGAGAGCCAGCAAUCUGGUUUCUUUUCAAAGAGUUGCCUCUGAAUCACACACGACACCCAGUAGUUUUAAACCGUCAGUUUCUGAUUUAGCGGCAGAUGGCUUAUCAUACCAACAACAUCCCGGCCUGGAAGGCGGUCAAGAGCAUAAAAUGCAUAUCCUGUAUUCAGUAGCGCCAACAUUCACCGCCAGUGAUCCAUAUGUGCUUCAUUCAACUGAUGGAGCGGAUCCGCCUCCUUCACACAGAACAGAAGGGUCUUAUCAAGAUGAAGAGAACACAGAUUUCUUUCUAGGGAAUUUAAAAGUAGGCAUGACCGCUGACAAUACUGACGCUACAUCAGUAUGGACUCCACGUACGCCUCCCGCUAUUUCUCACGCAACCACUGACUCCGUCACAUCGUCAAAAGACACCGUCCUCGCCUACGUUUAUAAAAUCACUGCUGCCAGACUUCCACGCAGUUUCACUGACACGGACGAUGACGGCGACCCGGUCCGAUCAGAACUGAAAGGGUCAGAAACACCUGCAGUGGCGGUGUUGUCCACACGGGUGACAUUGUCAGGGUUGUCCUCAGAUCUUUCAACCUCGUCAGUGUCCUUGCUGGAUAUACAUCCAAUCAGUUCAGCGUUCAGUUCACCUGAAGUGACAUCAUCAUCAUCAUUCGAACCAACCGAGUUCCCCGACAUCGUCUUGUCUUCCACAUCACUCUCGAUGUCCCCCCCAUCUCACAGUACAACUGACACGUCUGUUGAUCUUACAGAGGCAGCGUCGGCUGAUGAGCUCAGCGCUGGAACAUCCAGAGCGGUUGCUCUCACUUUCCUCAAAGAGAACGAGGACCCGCCCCCUCCUCCCUCUCAGUCAACUGCACCCACUGACAGGACAUCUCAGGUACCGCCCCUCACCCCUCGACCGGACAUCACACCAGCCUCCGUGAAGCCCUCCACCACCACGGCCGCAGCUUCGACCACUAAAACAGAGAAUCCUUUCCCCGUCGCCUCCACCACCAGCUCCGUGCCAUCCCUGGGCGGUGUUGCUUCACCGUCCACCCCCGUUAGUACCACCCAUCUAACAACACCGGUCAUCAGAAGGUUUACCUCCACCACGACCAUCAGGACUCAAACCAGCAGGAGAACUUUUACUCCGUUCGUCCUCAGAACAGUUCCACCCCGGGCGGCCACCACCGCCUUCAUCUCUCCGUUCACCACCACCACGGAGGCCACGCCUCAGCAGUGCAACAUUACAGAGAGAAUGUGGGUGAAAACAGUGGUUUCCAUUUAUGUCAGAAGAAACCGACUGGACAGCAUCCAGAGACAGAACCUGCGACGAGGCCUCAGCCAGGGCCUCCGGAAAGCUCUGAAUGAUUCCUCUGCCCAAGCACAGGUGGAGACAGUGUUUGGCUCACCAAACAUGACAGUGGCCUAUCAUGUGACCGGAGGGGAUGUAGUCUACCCCCCCUCUGUAGUGCUGGAUGGCUUGGAAUCGUAUGGCCGCGAUAAGCUGAUUGCAGACCUGCGACAGUAUCUCCCCAUGGUCACGGCCCUGCCGCUGCCGGCCGCGUUGUGGCGCGCCAGCCCGGCCUCUACAUUCCAGCUGAAAACAGUGCUGCAGUUCGUGGGAGCGGACGAUAACCCCCGCACCUGUCGAUUCUCUCAAAUGAUGGAGCGUCGGCUGGAGAGGGUGUUUUUAGAAGCACAGGUCAAAGUGCUCAGCAGUAACAGCAAGCUCACCGUCCAGAUGCUGAGUGUCACUCAGACGACAGGCUCUCCCGCUGUGUCUCUGGUCUACACUGUGAGUAACGGCACCGUCCUCCUCAAUGGCACCACUGCCUCCAACCUCCUGGGUCAGCUGUCAGCUGAGCUGGUGGGCUACUUCCUCUUCUAUCCCCCGCUCACCGUUGCCGAGCCCCUGGAAUAUCACAAUCUGAACACCUCUCUUGCAACGAGAGACUUCUGGGUUAUAACAGUGAUCCAGGAUGUGGAUAACACCAGUCUGGAAGGACAGUACCAGAGCUUUGCCAGUUUAAUGGAACAGCGACUGGCAGAGUUGUUUGUUUUGGCCGGUCAGCAGGGCACACGCUUCAGACGAGCUACAACUGUGGACAGUUACACUGUGCAGAUGGUGGGCAUCCGUAGGGUGUCGGGGAUGAAGAAUCCUGCAGAAAUGACCUACUACGUCCAGCACAAUGGCAUUCCUUUAGCGGGGACGUCCGCUGCCAAGGUCCUCAACACGGUGGACUCUCAGAUUAUGGCUCUCACCCUGGGCUACUUCGUACAACUUCAAGCAGAACCUGUAGUCAAGAACCCUCCCAACAAUCUGUGGAUCAUUGCUGCAGUGUUGGCCCCCAUCUCUGUGGUGACCCUCAUCAUCAUCAUCAUCACAGCCGUGCUGUGCAGGAAGAACAAGAAUGACUUUAAGGCCGAUGCCAUUGGCAACCUGAACCCCAGAGCUAAGAUGGCGUACCGCAGGGAUGUCGGCUUUUAUCACCAGCCAGUCCAGGGUUUUGACUACGCCAAGCAGCACCUGGGCCGUCAGGGAGGGGAGGAGGAGACGCUGCCUGUCAGCCAGGACACCUUGGUGAUGUCCCUCAAAUUAAGAGACACCCCGCUGUCACUGGAAAAGACCCUGCAACAAGAUGGAACCGCACAUAAGAAAAGCCUCAGCAGUGACAAGCAGAAGAGCAAGUUGCCGAGCGAGGAUGGUUCCGUCAUCAGCAACGAAUCAGAGAAGCCCAAUUCUGGCAGAGGAUUGACGGCGCCAAAAGUCACAGCACAGCAGAAACUCACAAAGGAGGAGAUGCGCAAGAGGGAAGAUCCAUACGACACUUCCUCUGGCUCCCUGCAGCUCAUUUCCAUAAAGCCUGUGACCACUCAGCCAAGCUACUCCCACCAUGCCUCAUCUGACCGCAGCCAGGAUUCCAUCAUAGUCAAUGGAGAGGUGAACCUGGCUCUGAAGCAGAAGUCAGACAUCGAGCACUACAGGAACAAGCUGAGACUGAAGGCUAAGAGAAAGGGUUAUUAUGACUUUCCCUCUACCAACGGUAGCAGCAGCAGCAGAGUGCCAGCACAAAGACAACGGCAGAGCCACGAGAGAUCAGCUGUGGAUCAGGGCAGACCACUGGAGCCCGAAGAUGACCCAGGUUCCACUUAUGUCAAGUCCCAAAGGAGGCAUUCCCAGGUAGGGCAGACGGCCUACCGCAGUCGACAGAGUCUGAGCAGUCCCAGUCCAGGAGGAACAGAGAUGGACCUGCUGGUUAUGAGGGAAAGACCCAGGAAAGGCAUUCGUAACAGCGGCUACGAUACGGAGCCAGAGUUGAUCGAGGAGACCAACGUGGACCGUCUAGUCGGGACGCGGGGAUACCUGUAUGGACGGGGGUUAAAAGGUCACUCUGAGACAUCCACUCUGAGCUCACAGCCAUCAAUCGAUGAAGUGCGACAGCAGAUGCACCUGCUGCUGGAGGAGGCCUUCACUCUGGCCUCGGGAGGACAGUCCACCAUUGGACGGCAGUCCCACCUCCAUCAACCCUCUCCUGACCCCUACAGUCCAGCAGCCCCUUCUUUACCCUAUGCAGAGGUGGUGACCAGUGCCCCCAGUACGAUGGGCUGCGGGCAGGGGGGCCUGCAGUGGGUACCAUCCUAUGGUGCAGACCUAUAUCAGUGCAGCCUGCCGAAACCAGCCUUUCGCUUCACCCAGCUUCCCGAGAUGGCUUCUCCUCCACCGUUACCGCCUCGAACUGAGCCUCCUCCUGGGAAAUCCGUCAGACGUUCCACUUCUGACCUGGGGCCAAAAGGACGGAGCUCAGAGAAAUCCGUCAGGGAAAUGCAGAGUCACCAUGACACCAACCCGUACGGGCCGAACAGCAGAGCAGUACUUCCAUCUAUCUCUGCAGACCAGCCUCUGUCCAACUACUCAGGAAAUCCAAUAACAGCUGUCUACGCCAUCCCAGCCUCCAGGUCUGGUUACUCAGAAUACUUUCUUUCCUCCCCUCCCACCUCCUACCACAGUCCCUCUUGGAUGUCCUAUCCACCAGAGCCUGAGGAUGUGCCACCCCAGUGGGCAGACUCUUUGCCCCUGCCAGGUUACGUAGAGGCUUUUCCUCACCCCCGCUACCCACAGAGCAGCCCCACCAGGCUGCCUCUGGAAUAUAAGCAGUCGCUGGAGCAGCCCUCCCUCACCCCGAGCACAUCAUCCCAGCAAAACCUGCCGCAGGUGGUGAAGGACAUUGACAGCAUUCCCCUCAGCAGCCUCUCCACCUCUGCACUCGUGCAGGCUAUCAGACAGGAGGUGGCCAAACUGGCCAAAAAACAGAAUGAAAUGUUUGAGUUUUAGUGUCUCCUCCAGAGGAAGUACUCAUCUGGACUUACUUUUUGACAUUUGUACUGAACCUCUCUACCCCCUGGUUCACCUCUUUGAAUAUUUGAUUGGUGUUUCUAAGCUUCUGUUUAAAGGAACCCUCUUUUUUUUUUCAGACGAAACUAAACAAAUAUCUUCUAUGAACAAUGUCCCGGAGGACGGCUCUACUUUGAUGACAGGAGUUCAACAAACCAGUAGUUUUCAAAUGAUCUUCUUCAUCCACAAAAAUAAUGUUUUUACUGGUAUAAUGUAGACCCACGAUUGCCCUGUGACCCUCUUUUUGGUUGUGACCCGUCAUUUGAGAACCACUGACAUAAGCAGAUAUAAAAAUAAUAAUUUUCCCCCUUCAAAUUUUUGUGAAAGUGCGUCAGUUUGGGAUGGAGAAAGUGUAACAAUACUGUCUGUACUGAGGGAACCAAAUGUUUCCUGUCAGAUAUUUAGUAUAAGCCACAGUGUAUAUAUACAGUGUAAGGACAUCAUGUAUCUUCAUCUCAUUUUAUAUAGAGUAUUACAGUUUAUACCAAAUCAAGCUACUGCGUCAUUUUUCAACAGGAAUUCUGUUGUAUUUUUUACAGUUAUUAUAAAACAAUGUAUUAUUAUUAUUUUGUUAGUUAAUAGCUACAUAUCUUAUGCAUUUUAUUUACUAAAACUUAUUUACACUGUAGUAUUUUUUUAAAUACCUUAAACCCACUUUAGGUUUAUUAGUUUUUCUGAGUUGAAGCAAUUAAAAAUUAAAUCUAAAAGAAUGUUAGUGAAGAAGGGAGAAUAAAAACGAAUGUUUUUGCUUUCAUGUGCAGGACAAAUUUGAGUUUCUUGUUAACAUUUCACCUCCUCUAAAAGACAUACUGUAGGUAGUUCUGAGUCACUCAAGGAGGACUGUGAUCGUAUAACAUACAGAAAUGUUAAAAGUGUUAUUUUGAAUUAACCACAGCUGGGGUUUUCCUGUGAACCCACUACUGGCUCUCUUCAUUACUAUUACAAAUGUAAAGUAACAUGGGCUCGUUCCAAAUGAUUCAACUCUGUUUAUAUUGUAACAAGAUAAAUGGUUAUAGUUUAAAAAUCUCCUUUACGAUCACAUCACAAAAUUUUAAUACAGGGGUCAAAAAGUUCUAAGAAACUCAAGUAAGUCCUAAAAAUGAGUGUUUUCAUGUUUUGAUUGUAUGCACCUAAAGUACAGAAGACUGUUUAAGACAGGCAACCGCUGGUAUAAAUGUACCGUGAACGCUGUCUUAAUUCAUGUUUAUGUUGUCUUCAAGAAAAAUAUCUUUGGCUUCCACUCACCUUAAAUUUAAUGCUCAGUCGAGUCCAAUAUCUAUAAUCCAGUUUGCUGCUGCUAGCAGAGCCACUGUUUGUCGGCGUUGGUUUUGCUGCGCCGGAAGGCAUCGUAAUGUAGCUAAUGAAAGCGUUGGCGAAUUCAAACAUCCAGUUCAAGCUGAUGUUUGCGUUAACAAGAUGUAUUGCAUUAGUGCUGCUGUGUUUUACAGUGAGUGGGUAAAACAUUAUGGAUUUGCCUGCCUAGACAUUUGUGUUAAAAAAUCUUUGAGAAACAGUGUUCAAAGUACACAGAAAUCGUUCUGUUUUUACUGUUCAAAAAUAGGUCUGUGUAUGAGAAAUGUAUGGCAUUCUUAAAGACAGUUGUGGUUUUUACAAAUAUUUACCACAAAUGUAGUUUGUGGUAAAUCUUUGUAAAGAUUCAGGCCAAUAAAUUGUUGUCUAUCGACUUAAGAGGUAAUAGAGAUCUGGAGCACCAUGCUUUUAUUUUGAAAAAUUACCGAUUCUUAUUUACACCCGUCUGUGCUGAUUGGCACGUGUCAAGACGUUUGUUUUGUUCGUGUGAUCUGGCCUCUAACACUUUCCAUUUUAAAAAUGACCUAAAAUGUAAAAGCCUGCAGUUUUUCCCCCCCACAUUUUUUCUGUGUAAGCCGUUUGUUGCACCAAAACAAGCUUACGAAGUAGGAGGCGUUUGGUGUCACUGCCUUUGGACAAGUUCAAAACACCGGUUGAUAAGUCGUUGUGACUUCGGAGGAGCAUCUGCUUUUGGGCGUGAACCACCUUUGAUUGACAUCGUGACCAGGCAGUAGGAGCACAGCGGCAGGUCAACCCACAGUUUGGACAAACCCACACUUCAAGAUGGCUUCUUACAGCAGGUCAGAGUUUCUACUUGUUUGUUGUAAAAACUAAUGAUGAUUAAUGUAUCUGGUCGAGAAACGGUUCUUGUUUGAAAUGACUCACAUAAACUUAAAGUGUCCUGUAUUACUGGGAUGUUGUGUUUUUGUAGCAGUGACAAAGACUUUUCUGUCUGUUUUCCUAUCAAAUAACUUUGUCCUGGCAGUUGGAGGUUAGAUAACUGUGGGCCAGGACAUUGACUGAAUGACGCAAGCCCAAUUAUUCUGGGUCACUGCUUUUCGAUCCAGGUCAAUGGCGGAUUUGUUUGCCAUCUGUCAUUGUUCAAUUAUUGCUGAAUGCUGCAUCACCUGAUGUUAGGCAGUCAAUUUCAAUCUUGCUGUUGACUCUACCAAGACAAACCAAGACAAACCAACAGAAGCGUACAAGAAACACAAAUAGCACACGGGUGAGAUUAUUAAUCAAACAUGACUGAGGUUCAUGAGGGACAACAGGAAGUGACAAAAGAGACACCUGCUGUGAUGUAGGCUUGGACUGAGACUCGUGCACUGCUUAAAAAGUAUGAUCCUAAAAUUGCAGAAUGUAGAGCACUUAGAUUUAUGCUGAAGGAGACAAAGAUGAAUAGGAUUUGGAUCAUAGCGUUAGCUUCAGUCGAUGAGAGGGGAAAUAGGGUGAGAAAAGAAUUAAAGUGGUUUUUGAUGUAUGCCUUCCUUAAGAGCAGUGGUGAGGUGUAUCAAUCAGUACACGCAGUAGUCGUACGUUUAAGGCCAUAAAAAUAUUAGAAACUUUUCAUAUUUCUUGCUGAUUACUUUUCUUUUGCUGCUGUUUUUCUCAUUGGUGCUGUUGUGCUCUUCUCAUUAAUUAUCUAUUGACAGUUGGAUCCUCUCAGCCAAACAGUACUGAUUCUCUUGUCUUUUUUUAGCAAUUUCUUAACAUUUUUCAUAAUCAGAAAAACAUCCUCCAACCCAGUCUCUAGGCGGCGGAGCAUCUUUGGCUGCCGAUGUUCCCCUGACAGUGAUGUAUGUGCUGUGCCCUGCAACAAUAACAUCAUUGGCUGCAAAUUAAUAAGUGUAUGGGAAACUGAUAAAUCCAGAAAUUCUUUACUUAUUUUUUUUAAAUAGUCAGCCUGCUUAUGCACUUCAGAAUAACUUUCUUUUUUAAAUAAAUGUUCAAUUAAAAUCAUGGAAUAGUGGAGAGAUUCCCAGACACCUGUAAAAUCACAUCCUCUCUUACGUUGUCUGCUUGUGCAGUACAGCUUUCUAUCCACCAGGGUUCAGCCUAGAGCCAUAGAAAUAGUGCUCCAGGUUCAGAAUACGUUUCGGUCAUUUCUUAUGUGACAUUUAUGUGCAAAUAGUGGUUUCAGAUGGAGAUUAAAAGACGACCUGCUUAAUUCUGCACGAACAAAUAAUCAACUGUUAAAAAUCAUUAUUUUAGAGUUGAAGGCUCAGGAUUAACAUAUGAGUAAUGUGUCUUUCCAAAGAUGUUAAAUAUAAUAGCAAAUCGUCUCCCUGAAAUACAACCUACAGUAAGCUACAUUGCAAAAUCAUGCUUAAGAAGUUUUGGAAGAAAACAGUCUGUCAUUGACUUGUAAAAAAAUAAAAGGGAAAAGACAUUGUUCUGAAAAGUGCAGUAAAAUGGUCUCUUUAAAGUUUAAAUAUAGCCCAUGUGUCAGUGGUACAUCCAAAUAUUGGUACCCACAGCUAGCUUUUGAAGAAAAUUGUUUUUUUUAUUUUAUUUUUUGCACAUACUAUUUGAUGUCAGAGCCCCCCCAUUCCCCCCGACGCCACCAGCACCCUUCAAAAAAAGUCUAAAUUUGAACCUUUUUGUUUUUUUACCAAAGAACAGGUGUCCAAACUAAAAACAGAGCAGAGUAACGAAAAAAGGAAAAAAAUGUUAAGGAGAGGACACUAAAGGCAGAGGUCACGGAUAAAACACAGCAGAAAAUGGUGUAGAACUUUCUCCUAGAUAAUCAGGACAGGUACCAACCAAUGUAGGCUGAAGACACACAGGGGAGACAAACACAAAGUAAACCAGAAAGUAAGACAAGGGACGAUACACAGGGGAAGAAAGUGCAAGGUCAACCAGGGUGAUAUAUUUAUGAGUGUCCAUCGACUUUUUUUUAGUAAUCAUGAAGUUACAACUUCUAAUGUAAUUCCAAGAUACAUUGUGUAGGCUUUAGCAACAUCUAGUGGUGAAAUUCACAUUAAAUUGGUCCGUCACACACAAACACAUAAAUGUACAAUUUGGAAUAAUGACGCUUCUCUACAUUUCCUCUAAACCUCUGUCUUAAUAGAAAUUUCAUCAAGGUGGCAUUUUGAAAUGUAUGAUAAUUUUUCUGUUUGAUCAAUAGCACCACACCUUUAUAAAAACAUUAUUAUUGUUGUUAUUAUUAUUAUUAUUAUGGUCAACUACAGAACUGCUGCUACUCGAGCAUUUCCUACGGUGUGCACCAAAUACAGUACCUCUUUGACUUUUUAAGUAUCACAAUAUUUCCAAAAUAAAGACAGAAUUGCUAAGACCUAGAGAAGACACUGCUUUAGACAAAGAUGUGCCACAAGAAAAUGUCACUUGUCUUUUUAAGCUCCUCUGGUUCACACUAGCAGCAGAAAAGCUGCAGCUGUGCCUCUUCUUGUGAAUCAAGUCUGAUUUUUUUCUUUUUUUUGUCAGGUUUCUUAGCAACGCCCGAGUCUGAAUUUAGUUUGGCAGUGAUGUGGAUUGAUUUUCACAUGAUGGAAAUGUCACUUAGAAGUGUCACAGUGUGUGUAUGUGUGUGGGUGUGGGGGGGUUCUUUUCUUAUAUUUCUCUGGGUUCGCUUUCUUUAAAACCCCUUUUGCCCUCCACUGUGGUAACUGUUUCACCUGUGUGCUGAUGUCAGCAUGGAGGGCUGUACUAUAAUUACACCCAGUCUGUACUGCAGAUAAUGAACCUUCAGAGUUAGAGAAGAACUUGUGACAGCUUCCAAAUUAGGCUUUUGCUUCCUACAUGAUAACAGAGUGAGAGAGAGAGAGGGGGAGAGGGGGAGAAAGAGGGACGGUGUAAUCAAAAAUGUGUGAGCUGUUUAACAAGUGGUGGACAAGCUGUUUGGAUCAAGGGCAUCAAACACAGGUGUAGUUGAAGCAGCUCAACUUUUAAACAAUCUUCACCAUGGUAACAGAUAACAAGAAUGAAAAACUGUUUAUUCAUUCAAGUAUAAUUUUUGUUGUUGUCAUUUUUAUCCUCAAACACACAGCAGGAUUAUAUCUUCGAGGGGACACGGAGGGGAGGGGGGGGACACAAUAAAAAAUUUACUUCACGUUUACUUUGUUCAAACAGAAUCCAGUCAUAACUGUUUACUUUCCUCAUUCGAAGAUAACCUGAAAAUAUUUCAAAAUACCAUUUCAUCCAGACUCCGAUAUUAAGAGACUAAAGUCUAAAAGAUGUUUUAUUCUUAAAAGUUUAACUAACCUCCUACUUGUGCUACUGAUCCGCAGUAAUGCCCCCUACUGGCCAACUGGUCUUUGGCACAAACAACGUUACUAUACGUUGCCCUACUGUACUGAUGAAACAUAGUGAUCCUCUGACUCUGAAGCUCGAUCAGUUCCUUUCUGUUUUGACAUCUUCUUCUUUUUCUGGGUUUGUAACCAUUUGGCUGGCCUGUAGACAAAACAGUUACAAAUAAGAAAAUUAAAUGCAUUUGAAAAUAAAUAACUGUAAUUAGUGUCUGUGCUUGUAGUUAAGAUUAGGCCCACAUCUGUGGAUGGCAGACCUGUUGAGGUUUCAUCUUGGAUAUAAACAUAGAACUAAAUUGGAGGCUCUCCUGUGGUCAGUGGCCGACUGGGUUCCUCCCUCGUAUCAUGGUGAUUAAAUUACAACUCUGCCGUAAUAAUUUGAAACAUCUGGAAAGGUUUUGAUGGAACGCGUGAAGCUGGCGAAGCUCAGUCCUCUUAGAAGAACACCUGUCUUCAGGGAAAUUAACGAAUGUAACUCUAAGCAGAAUUCCUUCUUCCUGAAAGCUUUUCUGCUGAUUUUUAUUUUGCUGACCCCGGCUGGCAGAUCUUUUUUCCUCACUCUCUCUGUUGUCCUUUCCAUUCUUCACUUCAGUAGAUUAAUUGCUCGGUGAUACUACAUGU